rnacentral:rRNA from 1 species
UCAUUGGGUUUAAAGGGUCCGUAGGCGGUUUAAUAAGUCAGUGGUGAAAGCCCAUCGCUCAACGGUGGAACGGCCAUUGAUACUGUUAGACUUGAAUUAUUAGGAAGUAACUAGAAUAUGUAGUGUAGCGGUGAAAUGCUUAGAUAUUACAUGGAAUACCAAUUGCGAAGGCAGGUUACUAUCAAUAGAUUGACGCUGAUGGACGAAAGCGUGGGUAGCGAACAGGAUUAGAUACCCUGGUAGUCCACGCCGUAAACGAUGGAUACUAGCUGUUCGGAGCAAUCUGAGUGGCUAAGCGAAAGUGAUAAGUAUCCCACCUGGGGAGUACGUUCGCAAGAAGAAACUCAAAGGAAUUGACGGGGGCCCGCACAAGCGAGGAGCAUGUGGUUUAAUUCGAUGCUACGCGAGGAACCUUA